rnacentral:rRNA from 1 species
UACGGAGGGGGCUAGCGUUGUUCGGAAUUACUGGGCGUAAAGCGCACGUAGGCGGCUUUGCAAGUUAGAGGUGAAAGCCCGGGGCUCAACUCCGGAAUUGCCUUUAAAACUGCAUCGCUAGAAUUGUGGAGAGGUAAGUGGAAUUCCGAGUGUAGAGGUGAAAUUCGUAGAUAUUGGGAAGAACACCGAUGGCGAAGGCGGCCAUCUGGACCGACACUGACGCUGAGGCGCGAAAGCGUGGGGAGCAAACAGG